UACGUAGGGUGCGAGCGUUAAUCGGAAUUACUGGGCGUAAAGCGUGCGCAGGCGGCGCGUUUAAGACAGGUGUGAAAGCCCCGAGCUUAACUUGGGAAUUGCGCUUGUGACUGGCGUGCUGGAGUGUGGCAGAGGGGAGGUGGAAUUCCACGUGUAGCAGUGAAAUGCGUAGAGAUGUGGAGGAACACCGAUGGCGAAGGCAGCCCCCCUGGGUCAAGAUUGACGCUCAUGCACGAAAGCGUGGGGAGCAAACAGG
rnacentral:rRNA from 1 species